rnacentral:rRNA from 1 species
UACGUAGGGUGCAAGCGUUGUCCGGAAUUAUUGGGCGUAAAGAGCUCGUAGGCGGUUUGUUGCGUCGGCUGUGAAAUCCCGAGGCUCAACCUCGGGUCUGCAGUCGAUACGAGCAAACUAGAGUGUUGCAGGGGAGACUGGAAUUCCUGGUGUAGCGGUGAAAUGCGCAGAUAUCAGGAGGAACACCAGCGGCGAAGGCGGCGCUCUGGGCCGGAACUGACGCUGAGGAGCGAAAGCGUGGGGAGCAAACAGG